rnacentral:lncRNA from 1 species
GCUGAGAUCCCAGGCAUGAGAGAAUCCCAGACCCGGGCCCCAUCUUAAGCUCUGGUUGGAUGCCAAGCCUAGGCUCACUCCCAGGCCCAGUCCCAGUUCUAGGCCCACGCCCAGGAUCACUCCCAGCCCCAGCCCCAGGCCCCUUGUGGCCUCAGAGCCCCUAUGCCUCCGACUUCUUGACAGACACUCAGUUAUUCCCUCACUUCACGGAGGUGCUCCCACCUCUAGACGUCAGUCUUCACGAUGAUGUCUCAGUACAAAGAAGGGCAGGGCUCUAUGGACAAAAAAGACUCAGGGUUUCAGUACCAAGAGGAGGAUAUCUCUGUGAAUGAAAACUAUUCAGACCCCAGGUAACCACUGGGUUGGU